rnacentral:rRNA from 1 species
AUUGAACGCUGGCGGCAGGCCUAACACAUGCAAGUCGAGCGGAUGAAGGGAGCUUGCUCCUGGAUUCAGCGGCGGACGGGUGAGUAAUGCCUAGGAAUCUGCCUGGUAGUGGGGGAUAACGUCCGGAAACGGGCGCUAAUACCGCAUACGUCCUGAGGGAGAAAGUGGGGGAUCUUCGGACCUCACGCUAUCAGAUGAGCCUAGGUCGGAUUAGCUAGUUGGUGGGGUAAAGGCCUACCAAGGCGACGAUCCGUAACUGGUCUGAGAGGAUGAGCAGUCACACUGGAACUGAGACACGGUCCAGACUCCUACGGGAGGCAGCAGUGGGGAAUAUUGGACAAUGGGCGAAAGCCUGAUCCAGCCAUGCCGCGUGUGUGAAGAAGGUCUUCGGAUUGUAAAGCACUUUAAGUUGGGAGGAAGGGCAGUAAGUUAAUACCUUGCUGUUUUGACGUUACCAACAGAAUAAGCACCAGCUAACUUCGUG